rnacentral:rRNA from 1 species
UACGGGGGGAGCAAGCGUUGUUCGGAUUUACUGGGCGUAAAGGGCGCGUAGGCGGCCACCGCAAGUCGACUGUGAAAUCUCCGGGCUUAACCCGGAAAGGUCAGCCGAUACUGCGGGGCUAGAGUGCAGAAGGGGCAACUGGAAUUCUUGGUGUAGCGGUGAAAUGCGUAGAUAUCAAGAGGAACACCUGCGGCGAAGGCGGGUUGCUGGGCUGACACUGACGCUGAGGCGCGAAAGCCAGGGGAGCGAACGGG